rnacentral:rRNA from 1 species
UACGUAGGGUGCGAGCGUUGUCCGGAAUUAUUGGGCGUAAAGAGCUUGUAGGCGGUUUGUCGCGUCUGCCGUGAAAAUCCGGGGCUCAACCCCGGACUUGCGGUGGGUACGGGCAGACUAGAGUGUGGUAGGGGAGAUCGGAAUUCCUGGUGUAGCGGUGAAAUGCGCAGAUAUCAGGAGGAACACCGGUGGCGAAGGCGGAUCUCUGGGCCAUUACUGACGCUGAGGAGCGAAAGCGUGGGGAGCGAACAGG